rnacentral:rRNA from 1 species
ACGCUACGGCGGCUACACAUGCAGUCGAGGGGCACAGGAAAGCUUGCUUUCGCUGACGACCGGCGCACGGGUGCGUAACGCGUAUGCAACCUACCUCUUUCUGGGGAAUAGCCCAUGGAAACGUGGAUUAAUACCCCAUAGUAUUCAGAGAUCGCAUGAUCUCUGUCUUAAAGCUUUGGCGGAAAGAGAUGACCACGCGUAUCAUUAGCUAGUAGGCGAGGUAACGGCUCACCUAGGCAACGAUGAUUAGGGGUCCUGAGAGGGAGAUCCCCCACACUGGUACUGAGACACGGACCAGACUCCUACGGGAGGCAGCAGUGAGGAAUAUUGGACAAUGGUCGAAAGACUGAUCCAGCCAUGCCGCGUGCAGGAUGAAUGCCCUAUGGGUUGUAAACUGCUUUUAUACAGGAAGAAAAACUCCGACGUGUCGGAACUUGACGGUACUGUAAGAAUAAGGAUCGGCUAACUCCGUGCCAGCAGCCGCGGUAAUACGGAGGGUGCAAGCGUUAUCCGGAAUCAUUGGGUUUAACGGGUCCGUAGGCGGUUUAUUAAGUCAGAGGUGAAAUCCUGCAGCUCAACUGUAGAAUUGCCUUUGAUACUGACAGACCUGACAUCACUGCGAACGUGGUACGAAUGGUGGGUGUAGCGGUGAAAUGCAUAGAUAUUACCCCGGAUUACCACUGGGGAGGGGGAUCCCUACA